rnacentral:rRNA from 1 species
AGUGAACGCUGGCGGUAGGCCUAACACAUGCAAGUCGAACGGCAGCACAAUAAGAGCUUGCUCUUACGGGUGGCGGGUGGCGGACGGGUGAGGAAUACAUCGGAAUCUACUUUUUCGUGGGGGAUAACGGAGGGAAACUUACGCUAAUACCGCAUACGACCCACGGGUGAAAGCAGGGGAGCUUCGGACCUUGCGCGAUUGAAUGAGCCGAUGUCGGAUUAGCUAGUUGGCGGGGUAAAGGCCCACCAAGGCGACGAUCCGUAGCUGGUCUGAGAGGAUGAUCAGCCACACUGGAACUGAGACACGGUCCAGACUCCUACGGGAGGCAGCAGUGGGGAAUAUUGGACAAUGGGCGCAAGCCUGAUCCAGCCAUACCGCGUGGGUGAAGAAGGCCUUCGGGUUGUAAAGCCCUUUUGUUGGGAAAGAAAAGCAGCAGGUUAAUACCCCGCUGUUCUGACGGUACCCAAAGAAUAAGCACCGGCUAACUUCGUG